GCCGCUGCGGCGCGAUGGCGGCGGGGCUGGCGCGGCUCCUGUUGCUCUUCGGGCUGUCGGCCCGCGGGCCCGCGCCGGUAGGUGCCGCGAAGAUGAAGGUGGUGGAGGAGCCCAACACGUUCGGGGUGAACAACCCGUUCUUGCCCCAGGCCAGUCGCCUCCAGGCCAAGAGGGAUCCUUCACCCGUGUCUGGGCCCGCGCAUCUCUUCCGACUCUCGGGCAAGUGCUUCAGCCUGGUGGAGUCCACGUACAAGUAUGAGUUCUGCCCGUUCCACAACGUGACCCAGCACGAGCAGACCUUCCGCUGGAACGCCUACAGUGGGAUCCUCGGCAUCUGGCACGAGUGGGAGAUCGCCAACAACACCUUCACGGGCAUGUGGAUGAGGGACGGUGACGCCUGCCGUUCCCGCAGCCGGCAGAGCAAGGUGGAGCUGGCGUGUGGAAAAAGCAACAGGCUGGCCCACGUGUCCGAGCCAAGCACCUGCGUCUACGCGCUGACAUUCGAGACCCCCCUCGUCUGCCACCCCCACGCCUUGCUAGUGUACCCGACCCUGCCAGAAGCCCUGCAACGGCGGUGGGACCGGGUAGAGCAGGACCUGGCGGAUGAGCUGAUCACCUCCCAGGGCCAUGAGAAGUUGCUGAGGACACUUUUUGAGGAUGCUGGCUACUUAAAGACCCCAGAAGAAAACGAACCCACUCAGCUCGAGGGAGGUCCCAACAGCUUAGGGUUUGAGACCCUGGAAAACUGCAGGAAGGCUCAUAAAGAACUGUCAAAGGAGAUCAAAAGGCUGAAAGGUUUGCUCACCCAGCAUGGCAUCCCCCACACGAGGCCCACAGGUGAGUCACCUGUGGGGAGAGGGCCAGGUCCACCGUCACACUCACCACCUGUGGGUCCAGGUGAGGAUUGGCCACCUGGUGUUUUGGCAGAAACUUCCAACUUGGAGCACUUGGGCCACAAGACGCCCAGAGCCAAGCCUCCAGCACAGCUGCGGGGUGACCCAGGACUGCGUGGCAGUUUGUGACCUUGUGGUGGGAGGGCAGAGGUGGACACGGCCGAGAGCCCUACAGAGAAGCUGGCUGGUAGGACCCCCAGGGACCAGCUGGCCAGGCUUGUGCUCAGAGAAGCAAACAAAGCAAAGAUUCAAGAUUGAGGCUUCCAGAAAUUAAUCCACGUGACGCGUCCACACGGAACAAGGUCUGCUGACCACAGUUACACACGUCGUGACACCACAGUAUCACGGCUAAUGUUGAACACUAGAGUUACAGACGACAGGCAACAAGAACACGCAGAACCGGCCACCAACCAGCUCCUAUGCCCGGUGCCCGCCAUGGCCACAGGUGGGAGCCGCUGGGCCCACCUCCACCUCUGCCUCCACGGGGCACCUUCCAGCCACUGCUGUGCCUCAGCCACCUAGGAUCCAUCCCUGAGGCCUUGGCCGCCAAGACGGGUGAGGGAGGCCCCAGGGCGGAGAGACCCAGGAUCUUGCCCCCAUUUCCAACCCUGGCAGCGCCACCAGCCAUUCUUUGGUCUUCCCACCACUCACCUGUCCUCAGAGCCAGUACUGAUCUGGGGGAGCAGGUGCUACCUCCAUCUCCCAGCUGUCCCCCCCCACCCCUGGGGCUCCUCAGCUCCACCACCCCAGAAGCUGAGCCAUGGAGACACCCUGAGGGGCAGCCGCCACCUCAUUCCCAGAAAGAGCAGAGCAGCUGGCAGACUAGAGCUCAGCUGCUCCUGACCACUGACAACCGGGAGACGCUGGGCAGACACCACUUAUCCCAGAAAAGACCAGAGGCUCGAAAUGGGAACCAAGUGCAUAAAUACUAAUAAAAACAGGAUUUUACACAUUGA